rnacentral:sRNA from 1 species
GCAGCCCCAUGUGUGAUUGAGGGCGUCGAGUAUGCUGAUGGAGAAAGGACCCCAGACCCAUGUAACCGAUGUUGGUGUGGUAAUGGUGAAGUUUACUGCAACAGAAUGGGAUGCCCACGGGCAGACAAUGACCGUCCCGUCUUGUCCUAGGAACACAGAACUUGAUGCGAUAGCUAGAACUGAACCAACAUACAUAAAGAUGCAUACGUUUAAUAAAAAAAACUCAGACUUUCCAACUUUGCUGCUGUAUUUUCUCUUUUCUCUGUAUUUUUAAAUAUAUAGCUUUAGAAAAAAACAACAACUGUAGUUUGUUUUAGAGAAAACCUAGAUUUUUAAUAAAAGAAAUAAAAUUGUAAUAU